rnacentral:rRNA from 1 species
AUCCUUUGGUUUUGGGGAACUAGGAAUAUACGUGUCUUUCUUAUACAUGCUAGUGGAUGACGGUUAAAGAGGGGACAAAACGUGCGAACAGGUGAGGAAACCCGAGAGCUAAGUUUUGGGGCGGGGCUGGAGUCGUAUUAGGUCGAAGGUGGUAUAAAAGACCACCUUGCCCAGGAUGCGUGGCUUUAAACUGGAAGCCAUCUUUUCACUGAAGCAAAGGGAGGGCUCAAAAAGGGAGCGGAAAGCUCCUGAGGCAGCAGUAUAUAACUUUAUGCAAUGUACGAAAGUGCGACAUAGAAGGGGCGUAUAACUUAAUCUGUCUAAUUAAGUGCCAGCAGACGCGGUGAAACUUAAGGAUUAGUAUUAUAGGAAAAAGCGUAAAGGGUGUGAGGGGCUUAUCCCGACAAGAGGGUAAAUGGAAUUUUUCUGUAGGGGUAGAAUGUGUAGAUAGAAAAAAGAACUCUAAACGCGAAGGCAAUUUAUCUCAUGGGAGGUACGCCAACUGCUCCGUUGUUACACGAAAGUAUGGGGAGCAAACAGGAUUAGAGACCCUGGUAGUCUAUAUUGUAAAUAAUGAAGAAGAUGUGAGGCAAUCCUAAAGGGUAAUAAAUUUUUCGCUUGAGUAGUAUGAUCGCAAGAUUUAAAUUCAAAAAACUUGGCUGCUCACUGCUAUGAUCAGAGGAGCGUGUCGUUUAAUUCGAUAGUCCGCGAGAGACCUUACCCAAACUUGAAUUCGCCCUUUAACAGGUAUUGCAUGGCCGUCGUCAAUUUGUGUAUUAAAUGUAAAACGGAUUCAACCCAGUGGUUGGCACUCCAUCGUCUUCGGAGCGGUGCCAUUAUUGGAUGAAGUCAGGUCUUAUUGUCCUAAUGUUUGGGGAUUAGAUGCGCUACAUUUUCUUAUACAAUGGGAGAUUUUGAAGGUGGAACCCUAAAGUAAGAGUUCGGGAGGUGGCUGGAAGAUAACUGAAAGUUGGAUUUGAUAGUAAUUAGAAAGUAGAGCGUUCUGGUGAAAUUGAUGCAGUGUUAGUACAAAUAGCCCGUCGCCUUGGUCAAGAAUGGUUACUCAAAUGCCCCCUAUUGUUGGGGUGUAGUGUAACUUUGAGAUGGAGUAAGUCGUAACAUAGUAAGGGUGGGGGAACUGGCUCUUG